GAUCAUGCCGUUUCAAGCACGAGUGCUCUCAUUGUGGAGGAGCCCACCCUGCGCUGCGCUGUUUCAAGAAGGGCAAGCAUGGUGGAAGAUCCAAUAGGGAGGAUCUCCCUAGAGGGGAGGACUCCGGUGAGCGUGCUAAGGAUGCGCCCUUGGCUCGACCGGUAUCCCAAGCGUAAGGAUGCAGGGGUUCUGCUAGAGGGGUUUUCGACAGGGUUUUGGAUUCCGUUUGUUCGUUCGGAUUCCCCUUCCCUGGCAGAUAACCUACGUUCGGUGGUGGGUAAAGAGUCUAUCUUAGAGGAUAAGUUGAGGAAGGAAGUUUGUUUGGGCAGGAUGGCGGGUCCGUUUGACUCGCCUCCAUUUCCCAAUUUGCGGGUAUCCCCGCUGGGGUUAGUUCCUAAGAAAGAGCCUGGAUCCUUCCGUCUCAUUCACCACUUGUCCUAUCCCUCGGGUGGGUCGGUGAAUGAUGACAUUGACAAGGAAGAAUCACAUGUUCGUUACGCC